UAUGUGUAAUUUUCACAUUUGGACCCAUACUCUGUAUGAAAUUAGCUGGAUGCUACCGAAAUCUGAUGCUUCCUUUCUGUUGUUCAGAUACAGUCCUUAGUGUUUCUAUUUUACAUAUCUGGGUGAUGCAAACAGGACCCUAUUUAAACCUAAGUUUACGUUUUAUUUAAAACUAAGUUCCUGGCAAGUAGUUCCUUGACAGGAAGAUACUUCUGUUCCUCGGCUGAUCCGUGUCACCUGUACUUACCACCUAGGUUCAUCGUGGUGAGUGGAAACAUCACUGUGGACAGUGUGACUGCCUUCCUGAGGAAUUUUCUCCACCACAAGUCAGGGGAAAUCAACACUGAGAUCGUUUUCCUGGGAGAGUGGACUCUGCAGAAGCAUGCCUGAUCAUAGCCACCCUUUGUGUAGUGAUCCACAUGCUGAAGAUACUGCAAACAUUAGGAGGUUUUCCUGCCAAAGAUUCCCAGCUGGAAAUAGAAUGCUGGAGACAACAUUAUCUGCUGUGCUGAAUUAAAGCUUGGAUUUAUCACCCAAGGCUGUUUGGUGCCAGGCUUGUGCACCUUUCUGACGUCUCUAUUUGUUGAACAAAACCAAAAGGUAACCUUAUAAAUUGGUGUUGAAUCUUGGCUCUUUCCCCCUGGCCUCACAUAUAUUAGGAUCAGAAAUAGAAAAAAAAAUUGAGGAAAGCUAGAAUGCCCCAAGAAAUAAGAUUCGACUUCUACUUGAACUGCAAAAGGACUGAGAGAUCUAGAUUGACAUUCCAGGCACUGCACUGACUUUGAGAGAAGUUAUUUAUCUUAUUCUUGCCCAAGAAUAUUUAUCUGCAAAUUAGAAAUCAUAACUUUGCUUGCUACCUACAGUCCACGAUGUUAUGAAUGUAAAUGUGUUUGUAAAAGUAGAAGCACUUUGAGUUACUGAAAGUAGAACUACAAAUAAAGAUUAUAUUAUUAAUAGAGGAGUUAUAUAUUUAAAUAUAAGUUAAAUACUAAAUAUUUGGUAUAAUAAUGCCUAAUUAUAUUUAUCAGAGAGAUAUAAUUUCCAGGUUAUUUGGGGGACAUCCCAUGCAGUAAUAAUAAUAAUAACCAUAUAUUGAGUGCCUUCUACGUGUUAGGCAAUUUAAAUGGUUUCUUCUCAAUAAUUCAAGGUAGUAUCCUUGAAUCCAGUAAUGGAUGUCCAGCAGUUUGGCCAGUGAAGCCAGCUAACGUGAUUGUGUAGUAAGUUAGUGAGUAGCAGAGGUAGAAUUCUGUGACCUGUGGUCUUAGCCCUGUGCCCUGUAUCUCGUUUUGGGUAUCUGUGCAAACUCCCACAUCAGGUCCUUUGAUACCUUUGUUUGAGAUAAAAUAAGCAUCUAGAAGGGACUACUGGGAGGAACUUUUCCAGGAAAGAGUACGGCCUUCCAAAAUGCCAUUCCAAUGAAAUGUUCCAGGAAAGGUGUUCUAAUGCUCAGCAGGGCCCAGUAUCCAAUUGUGCAAAGCCUCUCCAGAGAGCGACCUUUCUCUCCAUUUAAUUAU